ACACCCAUAGUGGGCUUUGCAAACUCUGAAGAUGUUCCCUGCAGCUCCAGUGCAGGAUGAUCUCUACUGGAAGACAUCAAUAUCAGACAACCAUCUGCAUGAUACUUGAAUAUAUGCAGCAGCUGUUCUUCUUUCAAAGAAGCUGAAAAGUCACUAGAAGACUGAAAUGUUCUUUGUUGUUCCAGUAAUUCUGUGACAUGCUUUGGAAAUAAGUUCUACUUAUGUUCAUGCAACUUGGUAUUCUCAUAACAAAACUUCACUAAUUCUAAAUAUCAUUACAAUUUCUUCACUACUGUAAUUUCAAUAUCCAUGUAGUUAGUGUCAUAGUUAAGAUGGACUAGAAAAUAUUUAUUCUGGGUGCCUGAUAUGCCUGAAUUCCCUCUAGUAGUUAUUUCAUUGACAUUAAUAAGUUUUGGAUCAGGAUUUUUGGGUCAUGAAUUGGUUAUUUUUAAGAAAAACACAUAGGUAUCUGGAUUGAUUUGUUAGUAAUGUCCACACUUUGGAAAUAUAUUUAUGGGGCAAUGAGGUGCAGGAAUGGAGAAUACACUCCUGAGUUUAUGUGAAAAAAUUAGUUCUCAAACAACACAGUCCCAAGGUUACUUGUGCCAUUAUCAUUGCCAUAAUCAGUAAAACUGGAAUUCAGCAAGACAGAGGUAGGAUGCAGCUGUGCACAAAGGAGGGCAGGCAGUAUACCCUGGGCAGCAGUAGCUCUUCAGCUCUUCUGACAGGUUUUAAAAAGUGUUAAAAAAAAAAAAAGAAAGAAAGACAAAAAAAAAAAAAAAAUCAACCUCCUUUGGAUUAAAAGACCCAACAAACUCAGCUUAAAUUUUAAUUCUGUGCUUCAUCUUCAGCACACUGAAAUGCAGUUAACAGUAGCAAGUGUUCAUACUAGAUAAGGGAAUUGUUGCUACUCAUAUAAUUAUGCUGUUUCUACAGCUAAGCCUGGCAGUGAGACAGAGCAAGACAUAGCAUCACACUAUUAGGACAGUUAGUGCUUUUGACAAGAAUCCAUUUUGCAGUGAUCAGAGAUGCAGUUUCUAUUACUACUUCUCUGCAAGCUGAAACAUCAAUGAAACAAACAUUUUCCAGAAGAUGAGUUGCCUUAAACCCUUUUUUUUUUUUUUUUUUUUGCAAUGCUGAUGUUUUUAAUGUGUUUUUAUAAAACUCCAACAAAGAAGACAAGUGUGAAGAUCUAGAAGAAGGGAAUAUAAAUAAUAUCUUUAAUCUGCUUGUUAUGGGAAUUGAACUUUGUCAGUACUGUAGAUGCAUAUUUUUUAAUGAUGCAGAUAACUCCUUUCCUAAACACAUUCAUCAGUUUGGGGAUUUUUUUUUUCCUUACCUAGCAUAGCAUCUUCAGAAAUCCCCUUAUUUAGACUAACAUUCAGAAUUUGUGCAUAGCAUGUCAUCUGAGGUACUCAAGAAAGUAUUUUUCACAGACCUCCCCUCAAAAAACCCACGAUAAUGGACUCAUACAUGCCAUCUGCUGACCCUUUCUAAACCUGUUACAGGCAAGUCACUUACCCUCUCCAGUGUUUGCCUGGGUGAGAUGAAGUACUCCCAGUAUUUGCUCAGGUGCUCCUACAAGGCAGGAUCGCCCCAGCUGGACAUCAGCUCCUUGGAUACCCAAGUGUAAUAGAGACAUUCUAAAAAUGUCUUUGCCUGAGUUUCUUUCUCUUUGAAGCAAAUUUUAGAACAACGCCAGCAUAACUAUUUUUUUGUGUUAAUAGACAAUGAGUUUGAAAAAUAAAGGUUAAUAUUUAUGUGUUCUCUCAUGAAAAAUAUUUUACUUUUACUUUACUAGUGUGAUUCAGUGCCAUCCACACAUGCAUCUGUGUGGGUAAACAGUAUUUUGGUAUAUGGAACAUGCAACACUUGGUGCCAGUGAUUUAUAAAAUCCUAUCACUAAAAAAAAAAUGUUGAAAAAAGCAUGCUGACAUAAUGGACAACUGCAUUUUCAGGCAGAAGUUCCUUAAAUCAUCAUUACUGGCUGCACUCUAUUUAUGACCUUCCAAUUACUUUAAUAUAUGGCAGUUAAAUACUAUUUCAAAUAUUUGCAGCUGCAAUUAGAAACUUAUUUGUGAAUAUGCACAAAAGGGCAUUUCUAUAUAUAAAUAUGCAUAUCUCUAGUUGUACAAAGUUAGAUGUAGGUGUUGGUUUGUCUGUGUGUAAGGCAAGUAAGCCAGCAAUAUUUGAAUACUGUACAGCAGCAAUAGAACCUUUUUCAUUAUCAAGGUAUGUGUAUACAAACACACUAGUAUAAUAUCCCUUCUAUUUGUAUAUCAGCAGGAGUAAGCAGCUGAGUCAUGUAUAACAGCAUGCAAGUUGAAUGCAUACUCCACAUUUCAUACACACCCAACCAACACUCUUCAGAAAAAGGUGGAAUCCUGCCUGGUAUUCUGUUCUUAGGAAAUCAUGAAGAGGCUGAAGUGAUAAUUUAAUAGAAGCACUAUGCAGUGAAGGAAAAUACAUCCUGGUAAAACAAACAGGCUCCUUCAUCUUCCUACUCAAAACAACUGCCUUGUCCUAGGAGCUGCUGAAAUGAGAGCAAGGGCAUGUUCUCUUAGCCUUUACACAAAUAUUCCAAUCUGAUAAACCACUUACUCUUGCUCAUCUCUGGCUCAUUGGAAAUGAUAUCAAAAUAAUGGGACACAGGAAGGUCUCAAUUCAGCCAACAUCUGGAAGAGACAAAGUAGUAAAAUAUCUGUGUAGUCUCCACUGCGUUCUGUCACUGAAACACCUUUCCUUUGGAUCUGUUUUAUGGACCGUUUGAAGGAGGUAGGAACUGAUGAAGUUACCGAUACUAAGCAAGAAGAAAAUAAAAUAGACCAACAAGCACGCAAGAGUAAUUCUAUGUAAUGAAAACAUGGCAGUACUCAAAGCAACGGAAGGCGAUCCGACUCAUGUUUCUAGAAACUUAAGACAUGACUUCAUCUCAGAACUCUGGCUCUCAGCCUCCCAGUCUGCAGAAAUUCAAAGCAUAAAUGAUGGCUGAUCCAGUUUAAAUGUACUAGUAGAAAAUGUACUAGUAAUUAGGCAAAGGAAAAAAAAAAGACCUUUUAAAAUUAUUCUCUUAAAAUGAUAGCAUAUAAGAAAUAAACAAUUGAUAAAUUAUACAACAUACACUGAAGAGACAGAGGGGAAAGAAUGUCUAAUCUCUUCCCCUCAAUCUUACUUAUACAUUAUUACAACAAUAAAAUUCUUACAUUUUGGGUUUUCUUAUUCUAUUUAGGUUAUGUCUGAAAUGGAAAAAUAGCACACAUUGAACUUACAUUGGUUUCUGAGAAUGAAUAUAUUAAAUGCUUUUAAAAACUGGUUUGAUAGUUACAUGAAAGUUUUAAGGCACUAAGCCAUUAAUGUUAAGACUAUUUAGACCAAAUUUGGAAAAAUAUCCCUGUAACACAUUUUUGGGAAUCAUAAUUAAGAAAAAAGAAACUGAUAGAGAAGACAUUAUUCUUCAUAGAGGAAUGGGAGAAGUAAUGUAAAAUAUUUUUUCCCGUUACUUACAUAAAUCAUUUGGUGCAAUUAUAACAGUGUUCAAGAUUAAUAUUAGAAUGUUAAAAUGAUAACAUUUAAAAUAAUUACUUUUGUUCCUUUAAUCUCCUAGCUUCAUUGUUCUUUCAUCCCCUGCUUAAAUCUAAGUGUCUGCAUUUGGAAACUUUUAAAAGUACUUCAGCAGAAAUGCUCAUGGAGAUGUAUUAUCGCACUUCCAUUUCUGUCCCGAGGCUAUCAUGUUUGACAGUGACAGAAAAUAGUUUCAAGGACAAUAUAAUGACAGAGUUGGAAUAAAUUAAAGGAAAGUAUAAACUAGUUAGUGGCAGAUAUAAUUUGCUCUUGUUUUCAAACCAGUGUGGAAUAAAUAUUUUAGAAUGUAAAAAUUGCCUUUAAAACACAAGUAGGCUUUUAAAAAUCUGCUACAAUUUAAGUCACCAGUAGCCGCGUGUUGAAGGAACAUUUUUAACAUUAUUCAAUCACUAGUUUCUCUCUAGACAAUAAAAUUUGAGUGGAAUAUCACUUAUACUCUGGAAGUAUUUAAUCAUACAGCAUCUUGUUAAACAAGUGUAAACAUGAAGGAUUUGUUAAAAUAUUUGUUGUUUUCGCAGGGUCAAAAUACAGCAACUGAUCCCCAGGUGUCUGCCUCUACAGAGGUUAAAUCUGUUUUUGUGUGCCAUGGUAAAGAUGAGCGCAGCAGAUUUCUGCCUAAAUCAUUUUUCACAACCUUUCUCUCUCCCUGCUAUAUCACAUGCCACGUCCUUCUGCCAGAGCCAUACUGGGAGGCAGCUAUGCCAGGAGGCAUGGUGCUGACUAGAGAGAAGAUGCUGAGUAACAGGUGCGCCUUGGUGAGGGAGGAGCCAGCACUGCACCCAUCAUGGUGCUCCCUGAGGCAAGCUCAGCUUAAAACACCAGGGCUGGUUAUCAACCUGUGCAUUUCUGCUGAAGGAUAUGGUGAUGGCUGUGCCUGCUUUCAUGGGCAAGGACUUCUUUCAGUUAGAAGUUUCAAUAUUGGGCACAUAAUCCUUUUGGAAAUUUGGUUUGUGAUCCAAUAUGUGUAACAACACACAGAAAUAGCAUUCUGCUUCAUGGAUGGUAGCAUGUGAAACAGGAGUUGUUUGAACAAAACUAAAGGAAACAUCAAGUUCAGGAGUGUGCACAGGAUCUCAGCACACCAGUCCUGGCUUGGGACCAGGCUUAUGGGAUUGAGUAGGUCCCUUCAUAACCCUGCAAGUGAGGAAGCAAAGCUAAGAAAAUAUACUCAAAGUUAAUGUGAUGUGUACCUGCAACCAGUGUAUAAUAAUUAGGUCUGGAUUCACUAAUACCAAGGAAAGAUGUUCUUAACUUCAGACCCAAAUGUUGGCUUUUAUAAUUUUAGUUCUUUAAAGCAUUACUCUUAGAUGUGUGAGCUUCUGUUGUGUUGCGGCUGCAGCAAAAUAAAAGUGGUGUCUGCUUCUUAAUGCAUUCUACAUGCAGAGGAAAUAUUUAAACCCCCUCAGGCCAAAGUCAUUUGGUGCAGAAAUAUUAAAAAUGAAUCAAGAACUUUACAAACUCAAAUAAACAACAGCUACUGAAAGGCUUUCAGCCAUCUCAGAAGCAGCAACACAAAUGUUGAUUUCUCUCCUCUCUGUUUUUACCUAACACUGGUGUUGAAGUCCCAACACCUACUUUCUGAAACUCACUCCAAAUCCUUUAUUGCUUCUAGCUGGAAUGAUUGAGUUGAUUUAGCUCAGGGUGUUACCAUCCUUUAGUUCUUUUGAAAGUCUUAACCUCAAUUAAUGUUUUGUAUAAUAAUAGCAAACGUGACUAUUUCAUUAAAACAAAUAUACAUAUUUACAACAUAAUUUACCAAAAUUGAUUAUGUCAGAUUGUAAGUUUACACACUUUAAAAAAAACCUGAUAUUAAAUGCUGAUUUAAUACUCAGUUGUUUCUUUCUAUGCAUAUCAAAUGGAGUACCCACAUUGUGAAUUACUGACUGCUUUUAAAAUAUAAACUUGUAGGUCUUUCAACUCACUGAUUAACAUACACAAAGGUAACAGCAGGCAGUUUUUUUAGACUGGCUAUGCUUGCAAUGCCUUAAUUAAAUCAUUCUGAAGAUGUUCUGAAGCAAAAAGAUAAUAAAACAGAGCAAACUCAGAACCCGGAAGAGUGCUUUAGAAACAGAUGUAUUAGGUUUUUGUUUUUUUAAUAUACAUUUCAAUUUAUUCUACUUUCAAUAAAAUUUGAAAUAGAAAGGACAUAAAAAAAAGAAUCCUAAACUUCCAUUAUGUACGUUUUUUUGUUUUUUUUUUUUUUGAGGGGGGUAUAACAUAGUAGAACUUUUAACUACUGUAGAAGUGCUGUGUUUGUAAUAAUUACAUAAAUGAAUUCUGCUUUAUUUCAAUACAGUACUCCCACAAUGCUUUGCUGCUUCCUGUGGUGUCAUACCCUUUUUAUUUUUCUUAAAACUUCCCCAGUAAUUGCUUACUAAAAGGCUUUUAAGUAAUUUAUUCAAGUCUUUUUUUUAAUUAAUCAUCUGUAAAACUGAACAUUCUCUAGAUAUUGUGAGAUGAGGAUUCACCUCAUUUUGCAUAAAUUGCUUUUUUUCUUUCUUUUUGUUAUUAUUACAAGGCUUAUAAGACCAGGUCCUUGUUAAUAUGGGUCACAAUGAAAUUGAGUUUUUUCAGGUCACACUACAAAUUAACACUUGCCCAAAGAUAUUUCUUUGCUUAUUUCCUUUUAUUCCUGAGCAGUCCUCCUCACUCAGCAAUAAUGUUGUUAAAUUUGCAUCCAGAUUAAAUUAACCUAGGUUUGGAGAGAGAAAGCAUUUCUAAUAUGCUUCCUUCUUGCAGUUUAACAUGGGCCAUAACUUUGACCUUUUAAUAUAUUUUUGACUGACUGGACAACAGUGGAGAAAUAAGAGGAAGCUUCCAUCCAUCCAUCCACUCAAUGGUAUGUGACAUUUUCAUGUCCACCACCUUCAGGCUUUUUUCAUAUUAAAGUCCUCCUGUAAUUUUGUUUAUGAACAUCAUAGAAGUUGAGCUGAAGCUGCUGGCAGGUGUCAUCAGUGUGUCCAGUCAGGGGACUUCUUGGUGCAGAAUGGUAGAGGGAUUCAAGUGCCUGGCAUUUCCUGCCUAAACGUCAAGGUAUCUCUCUCUGGAAUGUUUUGCACCAUCAGAAGAAAAAAUAAAAAACCUAAAGAGGAGUACAGUCAUUCCUCUAUGUGCAACUGCAUACAAAAGCUUACUUCCUAACCAGGUUUUCUCUCUGUGUUCAAACAAAAGGAGCUGCAACAUUUGUAAAAACCCCAACCUUUUGUUUUUACAGAAUUAUUACUCUGUUUUCUGAUCACUAUCCCAGUUUAAACAACUAAUCCUCAAUUCUAGAGCAAUUCAAUAACCAUUACAGUUCACUAGUACUUAAAACAUAGUGAAUGUUUUCUCCAAUUUCCCAGUUCUUUACAAAAGAAUAUAUUAAAAAAGAAAACAUAUAAAUUCCUAAUUUUAAUAUGCAUAACACUAUUUUUCUCCCCACCUCUCACUUUUCUCAGUACAUGGGUAAGCUCUCAUCUCUUUCUGGACCAAUAUGUAUUACAAGAAGAAAGUACAGUAAAGUGAGAAAAAAAAUUGUUGCUCAAAUAAGCAAGAUAUGUAUAUUCAUAUGUUCACAAAGAAAUUCAACAAUGUUUCAGAAUGAGAGAGUCCUGGAGAUUUUCCAGUUUUCUUUUGGCACCAUCAGUGAGGGAUAUUUCAAACUGCUGUUUCCUUAUCGCAGAAGCAGAGUCACUAUUAAGCAGCACAUAGGAAAAUAACUGAGACAAGGGAUUUGUUUCCUUCCCUAUAUUACAAUCAGAUCAUAGGAAUGUGAGCAAUUGUAACAUCUAGUGAUGAUGUAAGGCAACUUUCCAGGAAAUAAAUCAAACAUGCAUUUUACUACAUUUUUAACUUACCUAGUAUUGAAAAAAUGGGUUCUGUUGACUGAAAUCAACAUAUGAAAUAUAGCUCGUUAGUAACUAUAUCAACUUCCUGAUCAACACUACUUAGUGUUGACAAAAUAAUAAUAAACAAUGCAAAACAUAGAGAAAGGCACUCUAUAAUGUUGCAAGGAAGCCUUCUCUAUUUAGACAAAGUGAUUUAAAAAAAAAUUAACAAGGAAAAAACAAAAUAAAAAGACAGACAACUCUCUCUAUAUAUCCUUUCACUCACACAACACAAGUGUGAAAAGGAUAUCUAAGCACCAUUUGCCACAUGUUACAAAGGGCAACUUUAAAAAAAGUUAUUUUUUUUCUGUCACAUUCAGGAAUUCUACAAGUAUGAGAGAAAAAGCUGAGGUUGAACAAUGGUACACAACAGAUGGAAUGCAUUUAAUUUCAUAUUUCUGAUAGGAACGUUAGUUUUCUUAAAUUGUUUCCCUAAUGAAGUUCCUUACAAAUACCAAUAGAUAUACCUUAAUUCCCACAAGACAGGGAACAUAUAUAGGUUUCAAGAUGAACUAUCAAAAGUAUCAGUUUAACAGUCCAAAAGGAUUAAUACCAGCUUCAGUCCACCAGCACCCUCAGAGAAAGGCACCCUUUUACUUCAACUGCAUAUAGGGCUUUUUUCAUUGCUCCUAUCAAUCACAUCCUAAGUAUUAGCCUCUUCAUAGGACACAAGAAGAGAAAUGCAAAACACAGUGGUCAGCUACGAGAACAUACCCUUCUGUCACCUGCCCUCUAUCAUCAGGAAACUUUCAUCAGAAGAAGGGAGAAAUCAAAGACAAAGAUGUAUGCCUUCUUAUGGAUAACCUUGAAGAACUUUGAGAAGUUGUUUUCCUUUGUUGCUGCUACUUACUCAGCUAAGCUGUUUUAAAGCCCUCAUCAAGAAUCUGAGUCUCUUUCUGUAUGUCAUCAGGCUCCUUCUUAACAACCAUCCAUGAAUACAACUCAGCCGUGGAAGUUGAAACCUCCAGCUAAAGGAUAACAGGGAACAGCUGGUGGGUAUUAACUGCUAAAAUUGCUAUAUCUACCUUGGAAACCUCAGGUAUUUUAUUUUAUUUUUUUUCUUUUUGCAUUUUCCUGCCUUUAGCUGUCAUGUAACUUCUAUUCUUACUAUGUAUGAGACAGUUGUUCUCCAGAGAAUAUAACAUUAUUUCUGUGUAUUUUUUGCUUGUUCUCAAUGCAUAGUCCCUCCUGGUCUGUGAGCAGAACUGAGAUCAGAAGCAAGCACCAUGCAAUGGUGAACUAAAGAAAGAGCUAUAAUGCAGACUCCCAAGAGGAAAAAAAUGGAGCUUCAUUUGGCUGCAGUAAUCCCUGGGUUCCUAUGUUAGAUACAUUUUAGAAGAAAGACCUGACAUUUCUCUGUGUACCCUGCCUUUUUUUGGCAGAGAGCUUGGACUUGUAGGCAGGAAGGAUACCAUAGUUGUUCCCCCUUUGGGUGGGUAUGUUCUGCACUGCAUUGGAGUGCACAGCACCCUCUCUGGGUCACCACAGCUGAGGUGCGCACAUACUACUUCCCCAAGUGGACUUACUGUCAUGAUUCUCCUCAACCUAAAAUCAUGCGCUACUUUCUGGAGGCCCCACUGCUGAAAAGGAAGCAACCACUUCACCAGGGAAACAAAUGACUGAGCUACAAAUACAGUACUUAAAAAUACUGAGUUUAGUUUGUGCUUGUUGUCCUUCCACUCCUGUACCAUGCAUUUUCCCUCAGCAAACCCUUGCUUCAUUUAGCAGCAGUUCUCCCAUUGGCUUUACUACUCCUGUGCUUUACAAACCACCCUUUUCACUCCCCCCUGCCUAUCAAUUCCUGGAAUUUAUUCCCUGUAAAAGUUUGUUUGUGUACUCUCCCAAAAUUCAUAUCUGUUAAGGAUGAUUCUUCACAAUCUAUAGUGAAUAAUAGGAGGAGAAAUGCCCUGCAAGCUGAUACCCAUUCUAUUUAUGCUUUCAUAUAAUUCGAUCACAAACCUUUUGUUCCUUGAAACUUGAAAAAUCCACAUUAAUAACACAUUUGUGGGGUUGAAGAAGUACAUCUGAAAGUGCUAAUUCACUUUUAUUUACACACACUACUGGAGAAGCAAAAGGCUGAAGGCAAUAGAAUGAGACAGACAGAAAAUUUGUUUGCAGCUGAGUCUGCCCUUGUCUUUUUGAAAAGCUAAAAUUAUUAUUACUUCCCUACACAGUAACCCUAUGGAUUUGUUUCUGUCUUGAGUUGUGAGCCAUCUAUUUACAGCUUUUCCAGAGUUUUGUCAUUUGCCCUGCUUGCAGAGUUUGACUGCAAAAGCUGGAACAUGCUUCCUCUGUGGAGCAAUUGCAAGAGUUGCUUAAUAUUAUGAGCAUGAUCUUGCAACACAUCUGGCAGCACACUACACUACAUAAGAUUGUUACCCUUUUGUUCAGGGGAGGCCCUGAAGAAAUCAUCAUAAAAAUACUGAAAGAAUAUCUACUGGUGGAAUUUGGAAAAAAAUCCUCUACUCUAAGUGGAACAACUGAGAAAUUUGCUGAAUGGAUGCAAAGGUCUUCAUGCACUGAGUGAUUCCAGCAUUCCAGAGAGGCAUUAAGAAAAACAUCAAAUAUCAUGAGACUGAAGAUAACGUUGUGGGUGUGGCAAAAGUGAGCUAUGGAGGAGUUGGAAUGACUCAUGCAUCUUGGUGUCUUGUUCUCUGUUGGUGGUGUACUUACUCGUGCAGAGUUUAUCUUAUGUAUUCUUUGUUGCUUUCAUUCAUUUUAACCUGCAGGCUGUAAACACAUUUAUUAUGAAAAGAAUAAAAUUACAGAAACUCUG